CACAACGCUAAUGCCACAGCUGAAGAGCAGAUGAAGAUGCAGACUUUUUGGAAAUGCAUGAAGGAUGCUUUCAAAGGUUUUCAACACGCUGUAAUGAGGAAGCGUUAGUUAGUUACAGCCAACUGAGGCACGGUGGAACAAACCAACCAGGCUGAAUUCGUCAUAUGCGGAUCAAGACAACGCUGUUCAGUGACCGUCUUUCGCGUAUUGAAUAAAAGUGGACAGUGGAUAGCCUCCAUUGUGCGAGCCUAAAGAACACUAAAAUAAACAGCCGUAAC
rnacentral:lncRNA from 1 species